CCUGAACCUUCACAAACGCCCGUGACCGACCAUGCGAUACAAACCGUACCAGAGAAUUUCUCAUACACAGUAUAGAAAAGUUUACCAUACUUCCUGCAACUGAUCGUAACGUCACUACCUCUUUCAUCCAAUCAGAUCGAACUUGAUACUCCGCCUUCUUCGCGCUGCCUUGCUUAUGUGUGUGGAUAAUCGGCAUAAAAGUAUCAUUGCCUUACGUCCAUCUUCUCAUUCGUCUGUCGUGCAACCUUAACAACAUGGUCCUCAAGGCUGUCUGUGUUCUCAAAGGUACCGGGGAGGUGACCGGUACGGUGCAUUUUGAGCAGCAGGUAAAAUGACGAUGAAUUUUAGGUAUCUCUGAACUUGAAAUUUAUACUCUCGGUAUUGCCUUAGCACACUGACAUAAUCUAGCUAGCUAGUCAGCUAGCCUGCAAACUGAGCUGCCAAAGUAGUAAUAGGAAGCAAAAUGUAGUCUCUAGUUCACCAACGCUGUAUAUGAUAACUAUGUUAGCUACAGAUACCGACAAACAGUGCAUGCGGUAUGGUUUUAUUUAGCAAAAAUGCUCCUUGUGUCGCUACUGUCAAUGGCUAGCUCAUCUCCGUGUUCGUUGUAGAGGCCAGUCUGACUCAUCAGUCAGCAUGAAAUGGUGCUUUUAGCAGAUUGCUAAUUAACUUGUUAAUGUAGCCGACGUUUAAUUGUACUGGUAGUUGCAUGCGUUGUUGCUUCCCGCUGUUUAUUGGCAUUAACACUGCACACAAUGUAUCGACUAAUUUACUCCUGCACAAGGACGCGGGUAGCAUGUUGUGGGGUUGUAUGCCAAAGUUCAGUCUAGGUUAUUUGCUAACGUGUACUCGAACGCACACUACUAGUAAAGGAACUUUGCCCCACCACGCCAUAUUUGUCGUUUUAUUGUAAACAGAUACAAUGCGUUUUAACUGACCGCCUGUUUAGUACGGAUUUUGACCUGUUGCUGUUCUGCGCACUGUUUAUCUAACAGAAGUAUAAUCUAUUUGCAAUAGCCUAGGCAUAGAUUUAGUAGUCAAACAACGCGUGCUCAGAAUUAAUUUCCACUUAUCAGUUGUAUAACAAUCGAAGCGCUCCACUUCCUCCAAUCGUAUUCGUUUUAAAUAUUUUGCUUAGUCAUUGUUGACCCAAGUGGGCGGUCUGAAAAUUCAAAGCAGUUAAAUAAUAUGCACAUGUCAUUUACUUCAGCUUUCAAUCAAUUCCUCGUCAGCCAGAGAUGAAGUGCGAAGUGUGAAGUGUCUUCGGAAACGGCAUCUCACUCGGAUCUGUGUAGUUUGACAGAGGCAAAUAAUAAUAGAGAAAAAGGAAUUCGAAACGUCCAGAGCAAUGGCAAAACCAUAGCAUUGGGUGGUGUACAGGUGUUUUGUUUAUGAAAAUAUACAUUAAACAUGCAGCCUGAUUGAAAAAGGCUGCAGAGUUAUAUAUAUGAACAUGGUACUAUAGGCAUCAAAUGUCAGUGAAGGCUGUAAGUAGGAUUAGAGGCUGCGAUGAUGAGAAGCAAAUGGCAUUUUAAGUAAUUUAUUUCUGAAUUUAUGCGAUUUAUGCUGACUGGAUCCUGCAGAGGUAUACUGCGGUAUACCUAUAACACUGCUGUCAGUUACCCUAAAAUGUGGCCACAAACCAGACUAAGUUGAAGGCAUAGAAACAAAUAAUUCUUUGUGGUCUUGUUACAGGAUACAAAUAUGGUUUGUAUUGCCUUCUGUAGCUAAGCUCCAUUGGUUUGUUAUGGCUUGUAUUUAAGUUUUGAGGCGUGAAG
ensembl:lncRNA